rnacentral:ncRNA from 1 species
AAUGAACCGAUGACGGAAACAGUAGUUGGUUGCCGAAUUGACUAGAGAAAAAAUGCCAAUGGCUGGAAGCAUUUUACAUAUUCGCCCAAUGAAAGACGCUCCAGAGGUUUUAUAUCGAAUUUUAGUAGGUAUAAACGUAUCGCAGGCGUUAACUGCAUAAAGCGGGUGUUAUAUACAUCAACUAGGGUGGCAACGCGGGUUAAACUCUCGUCCCUUAU